AACAAAAAAAAAAAAAAAGAGACAUCUACAUUAUUGUACUUCUAUAUCAAAUAGGUUGGUCCCUUCUAGCGAUGAGCUUCUGUAGGAUUAAAACCCAAUAAUUUCAUCUUAAUUUCUCAUAUUUCCUUAUCCAAUUUACUAUAUGAAUUGAGGCACAUAAAAUCAUAAAGAGAUAAUCCAAACAAGAAUUUAUCAAUAACCUAAACAUUUCUAAGCUAAUCAAGAAUUGUAAAAGAUGAUGUUUGGAAAAAACAUUUAACAGUUGCCUUCCUAAAUCGAUUUAUUGAAGCAACUAAGGUCAUUUGACCAAAAUAAUCUAAAGCUUAGCGUGUAUUAUCAAUUCUACCCAAUCCUUCUAGUUUUAACAGUAUGUACCUCAACCAAACAUCGGUAACAAUUUUAGCAGUCAGACUCAAAUUGACCAAAAAAAUUAUUUCAGUAUUAAAUCAAAUAAAAUAGUAUUAUAUUCAUUAUUUUACGUAUUUUUCUUUUCUCCUCUCACCCCUAGAAAUCUAAACCUUACAUUGCCACUCUUCAGCAAUCAUUUCAGUAAAGCUAUCAUUGAUGACUGCUUCAUUUGCUGCAAUGAUAUGUCAAUUUCAUUGAACUACUACACUGAUUAUGAUGCUUCUAUGAACGCUAGCGCCUAGCGUUGAUUCCGAUCCAAACCAUAUUAGAUAUGAAACUGAUAGUUACAUGAAUAAAACAGGUAAGCUCAUUCUAAAGCCUUAACCGCUAAUGCUGGAAGAAAGAAAACUAAUAUAAUAGAAGAAAUCCAAAAUACACUGCAAAACUAUAGCUAAAGAUAAAGCAAGGAAGAGAUUUGAAAAAGGAUAAUUAAUCAUACAGCACUUGCGGAAUAUAUAAUUAACACUUAUUUCAAUUUUGCAGCAUCUAAAAGAUAGGAAAACCAUUGAUUCACAGGUAAGUGUGCAAGAAAAUCAUUUGAUCAAAG
rnacentral:misc_RNA from 1 species